rnacentral:miRNA from 1 species
CGUGUGUGUGUGUGUGUGUGUGUGUGUGUGUGUGUGUGUGUGUGUGUGUGUAUGCACAUGCCACACACCACGCCCUCAC